rnacentral:sRNA from 1 species
AUCACUGCUUCCCUGAUGUCAGCGUGAGAGGCAGAACAAAGGCUAGGAGGCACCGAGCCCCCAAUUUUGUGAGUGUCCCUGAAGCAUUGUGACAAUUCCAUUUUAUGUGUCUGCGUGCUCAUAUCAAGACUAAGGAGUGAUGGAGACUCUCCAGUUCAGAUCCAGUAGCUUUUAGGGAAGGAACUACAGUUGCUGACUUGAGUUGAAGAAGCAUCUACUUAAUGUCUGGUCAAAUCCUACAAGAAAUACAGAAAUCUAUGAUUAAAAAGCUGAGCACUUUGAUAUACUGCAAAGGGUAGAGAAGGCAGGACGGUAGAAAUCUUCUGCAAGGAAGAAUGAAUUUCAGGAUUUAUCACUAAAUCAGACAAAGUCAUUUAUUUAGUCCCCCUGACACAGCAGGGCAAACUGAGUUGGCAUACAAGUUACCUGGAGAAAAAGAGAGCAAUUCCAGGACUUCCUCUUCAGCCUAAAAGAAGGUACCAGAUCUGUGCACUGGGGCUAUGUGGAAGAGACGUGCUUAUUGCCCCUGAUGUAAGCUCCAGUAAGAAAAGAUGUCAAGUACAAGUACUAGG